GUGCGGCCCCGUGGCGAUUUGGGCGACCCUGAUUGCGGGCCACGUUAAAUAAUCCGCUAAAGUGGGGACCGUCCCCC
rnacentral:ncRNA from 2 species